AGCUCACGGCCGAAUCUGAGAAUGAAAUUUCAAAACGUUCUAAUCCGGAUCGAGCCCGCCCUUGUUGAGUCUCCAUUUGGGAUCUGCACUCCCGCAGCGAUCGCCCGCUUUCCUUCUCCAAGGUCAAGCCGCCGCCGGCGCCGGCGCUUCCGGGCUCUUCCCGGUGGUCGUGCUGUCCGGGGGGUUAGGGUUUUUGGGAUUGCCCGUGCACCCACACCAGUAUGGCCUCUGUGGAUGAGCAGGAGGAGACGAAGAACUCCGCCGAAGGUUCGGCCGGGGAGAAAGAAGGGGAGGGCGGAGCAGCAGAGAUGAAUGAAAGCAAGGCCGCGGAGGACGUGACCGCACAGGAGGAAAAGGAAGAGGCGGCAGGCAAGCAGGGAAAUGAAGGCGAAGGGAAGAAGAAACGCGGGAGGAAGGCGGGGAAGCCGAAGGAUGUGGACACGGAGAUGAAGGAAAUCAAGGUCGCGGAGGACAUGGCCGUGCAGGAGGAAAAGGAAGAGGCGGAAGGCGGGGAGGGAAAUGAAGGGGAAGGGAAGAAGAAGCGUGGGAGGAAGCCGGGGAAGCCCAAAGAUGAGACCACGGAGAAGAAGGUCGCCAAGAAGAAACAAGCGAG
rnacentral:lncRNA from 1 species